UUUGAUCCUGGCUCAGGACGAACGCUGGCGGCGUGCUUAACACAUGCAAGUCGAACGGAAAGGUCNUUCGGGGUACUCGAGUGGCGAACGGGUGAGUAACACGUGGGUGAUCUGCCCUGCACUUUGGGAUAAGCCUGGGAAACUGGGUCUAAUACCGAAUAGGACCACGCGCUUCAUGGUGUGUGGUGGAAAGCUUUUGCGGUGUGGGAUGGGCCCGCGGCCUAUCAGCUUGUUGGUGGGGUAAUGGCCUACCAAGGCGACGACGGGUAGCCGGCCUGAGAGGGUGACCGGCCACACUGGGACUGAGAUACGGCCCAGACUCCUACGGGAGGCAGCAGUGGGGAAUAUUGCACAAUGGGCGCAAGCCUGAUGCAGCGACGCCGCGUGAGGGAUGACGGCCUUCGGGUUGUAAACCUCUUUCAAUAGGGACGAAGCGCAAGUGACGGUACCUAUAGAAGAAGCACCGGCCAACUACGUGCCAGCAGCCGCGGUAAUACGUAGGGUGCGAGCGUUGUCCGGAAUUACUGGGCGUAAAGAGCUCGUAGGUGGUUUGUCGCGUUGUUCGUGAAAACUCACAGCUUAACUGUGGGCGUGCGGGCGAUACGGGCAGACUAGAGUACUGCAGGGGAGACUGGAAUUCCUGGUGUAGCGGUGGAAUGCGCAGAUAUCAGGAGGAACACCGGUGGCGAAGGCGGGUCUCUGGGCAGUAACUGACGCUGAGGAGCGAAAGCGUGGGGAGCGAACAGGAUUAGAUACCCUGGUAGUCC
rnacentral:rRNA from 1 species